rnacentral:rRNA from 1 species
GAGUUUGAUCUUGGCUCAGGACGAACGCUGGCGGCGUGCUUAACACAUGCAAGUCGAGCGGAAAGGCCCUUCGGGGUACUCGAACGGCGAACGGGUGAGUAACACGUGAGUAACCUGCCCUGGACUUUGGGAUAACCCUCGGAAACGGGGGCUAAUACCGGAUAUGACUUGAGCUCGCAUGGGCUUGGGUGGAAAGUUUUUCGGUCUGGGAUGGGCUCGCGGCCUAUCAGCUUGUUGGUGGGGUGAUGGCCUACCAAGGCGACGACGGGUAGCCGGCCUGAGAGGGCGACCGGCCACACUGGGACUGAGACACGGCCCAGACUCCUACGGGAGGCAGCAGUGGGGAAUAUUGCACAAUGGGCGAAAGCCUGAUGCAGCGACGCCGCGUGAGGGAUGACGGCCU